AGUCGAGCGAACAGACGAGGAGCUUGCUUCUCUGACGUUAGCGGCGGACGGGUGAGUAACACGUGGAUAACCUACCUAUAAGACUGGGAUAACUUCGGGAAACCGGAGCUAAUACCGGAUAAUAUAUUGAACCGCAUGGUUCAAUAGUGAAAGACGGUUUUGCUGUCACUUAUAGAUGGAUCCGCGCCGCAUUAGCUAGUUGGUAAGGUAACGGCUUACCAAGGCAACGAUGCGUAGCCGACCUGAGAGGGUGAUCGGCCACACUGGAACUGAGACACGGUCCAGACUCCUACGGGAGGCAGCAGUAGGGAAUCUUCCGCAAUGGGCGAAAGCCUGACGGAGCAACGCCGCGUGAGUGAUGAAGGUCUUCGGAUCGUAAAACUCUGUUAUUAGGGAAGAACAAAUGUGUAAGUAACUAUGCACGUCUUGACGGUACCUAAUCAGAAAGCCACGGCUAACUACGUGCCAGCAGCCGCGGUAAUACGUAGGUGGCAAGCGUUAUCCGGAAUUAUUGGGCGUAAAGCGCGCGUAGGCGGUUUUUUAAGUCUGAUGUGAAAGCCCACGGCUCAACCGUGGAGGGUCAUUGGAAACUGGAAAACUUGAGUGCAGAAGAGGAAAGUGGAAUUCCAUGUGUAGCGGUGAAAUGCGCAGAGAUAUGGAGGAACACCAGUGGCGAAGGCGACUUUCUGGUCUGUAACUGACGCUGAUGUGCGAAAGCGUG
rnacentral:rRNA from 1 species